UACGUAGGGUGCAAGCGUUGUCCGGAAUUAUUGGGCGUAAAGAGCUCGUAGGCGGUCUGUCGCGUCUGCUGUGAAAACUCGGGGCUUAACCCCGGGCCUGCAGUGGGUACGGGCAGACUAGAGUGCGGUAGGGGAGACUGGAAUUCCUGGUGUAGCGGUGAAAUGCGCAGAUAUCAGGAGGAACACCGGUGGCGAAGGCGGGUCUCUGGGCCGUAACUGACGCUGAGUGAGCGAAAGCCAGGGGAGCAAACGGG
rnacentral:rRNA from 1 species